ACGAACGCUGGCGGCGUGCUUAACACAUGCAAGUCGAACGGUGAAGCGCCUUCCUUUUUGGUGGGUGUGGAUGAGUGGCGAACGGGUGAGUAACACGUGAGUAACCUGCCCCCUUCUUCUGGAUAACCGCAUGAAAGUGUGGCUAAUACGGGAUAUUCUGGGUCUGUCGCAUGAUGGGUCUGGGAAAGAUAUUGUUUCGGUGGGGGAUGGGCUCGCGGCCUAUCAGCUUGUUGGUGGGGUGAUGGCCUACCAAGGCGGUGACGGGUAGCCGGCCUGAGAGGGUGGACGGUCACACUGGGACUGAGACACGGCCCAGACUGCUACGGGAGGCAGCAGGGGGGAAUAUUGCACAAUGGGCGCAAGCCUGAUGCAGCGACGCCGCGUGAGGGAUGGAGGCCUUCGGGUUGUGAACCUCUUUCGCCAGUGAAGCAGGCCUGCCUCGUUUGUGGGUGGGUUGACGGUAGCUGGAUAAGAAGCGCCGGCUAACUACGUG
rnacentral:rRNA from 1 species